GGCAUAUGGAAGUUCCCAGGCUAGGGGCUGAAUUGGAGCUACAGCUGCCGACCUACACCACAGAUCAGAGCAGUGCCGGAUCCCUAACCCAGUGAGCAAGGCCAGGAAUCGAACCCAAAUCCUCAUGGAUCCUAGUCAGGAUCAUUAACUGCUGAGCCACGAAGGAAACUCUCCUAGCCACAUUUUUAAACAUGGGGGUGUGUUUUAAAAAUCCAAAUUUCUGGUUUUUCUAAAUACCUGUGACUCAGAUUCACUGGGCUGCAUUGGAGCCCAGAAAUCUGCAUCUUUAACAAGCCACACUAAGUGAUUCUAAUGCACAUGGUCUCUUAACAGGCUGGGAGAGAUGACUGAAGGCACUGUAAGAUGCCACGGCUCCUUCUGAAUCAUUGAAGAACCAUGAAGUGACGUGCCUUCAAAUGUAUUUUGAUGCUUGGAAAGCCGGUAACUCCGUGUGAGUCACAUGUAAUAGCUCUCUGCAAUCCGCAUACCCAAUAGUACAAAAGUAUUCAAAGCCUGAGCAUGUUGGGCAACAGGUAACUCACCUCUGAGUGUCAGAAACGGGUUCUAGAUUCAAUAUUCCCACUGGGAAACAGAGGCCUAGGAAGACUGGCUUCUUGCCUGGUGUCUGCCUGCCCACCGACCAGACCACAUUUCAGAACAUGUGUUCUCAUCUCUCCUGACAGCCUGCCUCCUCCACAGCAGGAGCCACUGUCCUUCUCUGCAGGGUCAGCUCUGAGACCUCCCCAGGGAAGCCCCCCUACCCUCGGAGAAGCCUCCUGAGUCCUGGCAGCUGGAGAGGAGGGAGCUGGGAUGCUGAGAAGACAGCCGAGGGGUCUGUGAGGCUAUUGCAGAGAGGACAGAGGGGGCAGAGCAAGAACGAGUAUUUGAUGCCUGGGAGGGAUGGACUCCACGAGGCCUUCAGGGUGACUAGAUGGGGGCUGCAGUUCUUCAGAGAAAAUAUCCACUGCACUGCGUUGCCAUCUUCUGUUUGCUGGGCAGUCUCUUGUGUGAGAUUUCAAACUCCUUAAGGCCAAGGUUCUUAGUCAUCUGUGUUGGCGUCAGCUCCAAGCACAGAGCUAAAAAGCAGUGGAGUGAUGGAAUAUUGGCACAGGAAGGAAAUGGAAUGACAGCCCCAUCCAUGGAUCAUAUUGUACCCUUCUCAUUCAGAGUGCAACCACACACUCACUCCAGGGCCUGACAGCAGAAACGUAUAUGUAAUUUACACACACACAUAUACAUUAAUUUAUAAAAGUAUAAAUAGUUUUCAUAACUGAUUGUGGCAACCAAAUUUGAGCCUGCUUAAAAUCUUGUGCUAUUACACACUCUUAAAGACUUUGGGGCUGAUCUAAGGAAUUGUGAAUGAUAAAGCGGCAGUUGGUUAGGAGACAAUAUCUGUAAAACUUUCGGCCUUUUCAUUUAAUUAAAAUCCAAUAUCUGAGUGUGCCCACCCAGAUGUAGGUCAGUCCGAAACUAGAAUGUGAAUAGCUUGUGGCGCUAGACUCCCAUUCAUGUGUGAAAGGAAAACCAAAACGAAUUGCUAUUGCUGAGCAAGCUCUAAAACGGAGCCAGGAGGCCACUGAGGAAGUGUGACUUAGGUACAUCUCAGCCUGGAUGGAAUCUAAUCCUUUGACUUUUGGGGGGGGCACACUCGCAGCAUAUGGAAGUUCCCAGGCUAGGAGUCGAAUUGGAGCUGCCGGCCUACACCACAGCCACGGCAAUGCCAGACCUGAGCCGCAUCUGCGACCUAUACCAUAGUUCACGGCAACGCUGGAUCCUUAACCUGCUGAGCGAGGCCAGGUAUCAAACCCACAUUCUUGUGGAUAAUAGUCGGGCUCAUUACUGCUGAGCCACAACAGGAACUCCCUCCUUUGACUAUUUAUUGUCCUAACAAAGGCAUUCAGAACAUCUGCCUGAAACUCAAGAUCCUGACUGGGGAGUUGUCAUUGUGGCUCAGAGGGUUAAGAACAUGACAUAGUGUCUGUGAGGAUGCAAUUUGGGUUCAAUCCCUGGUCUCACUCAGGGGGUUAAGGAAAUAGUGUUGCCGCAAGCUGCAGCAUAGGUUGCAGCCAUGGCUCAGAUCCUGCAUUGGCUGUGGCCUCAGCUGCAGCU
rnacentral:lncRNA from 1 species